CAUGUUUAGUCCCUAAAAAUAGACGGCGUCAAAUUUCACUAAAGGUUGCCACGUCUUCCGCCAGUUUUAAUGUUAACAGUCUGCCACGUCAAUUUUAAACCUGGGAGAGUUUUCUGGAAUCUCUAGAUUUCUGGAAGAAUGGGAGAUGAACAGAUAGGUUGUUCUCAGUAUUCUCUGUUCUUCUUCCACUGUUUCAAGGAUUAAAAUUGUGUAAUCUCAUCGAAGGAUCAAUCUUCUCUGGAGAGAUCUGGUUUUUUCAAGGUAAAUUUUCCUUCUCUCCUCUGCUUUAGGGUUUUCAAAAAAGGUUUAACAAAAUUCAAUUACAGAAUCUACAAUUGAAUCGCAACAUAAAAGGCCUAAACUGAGAUACAUCUGUUUUUCUGAUUCUGAAUGAAACAAAGUUUGAACCUUUACCCUUUUAUGCUGUUUAGCAAGCUUGCUAUCGCACAGUGGAUCGUACUUAUUUUUGGGUCUUCUAGGAUUUGUGUGUCCUCCUCUUACCAAAAUGUAUGCUUACAAUGCUGCCCAUUUCAUCAGUACAAACCAUUCUCAAUCGUAAUUGGGUUGGUUAUUUAUUUUCUUUAUUAUGCAUUUUUAAUUAUUUAUAGUCAUAUUCAAGUAGAAUCUUAAGUCCAGAAGAUAUAAUUCACAAUUUGUCUGGAAUUGUGUCAAAGACCCACAUUCCCGCUAAAAUUACAGUGUGUUUAUUGCAUUGCAUCGGGUUACAUGAAUCUCAUAAAUUUAAUGUCAAAACAAUGAAAGAAGCUUCUUUUAUUAACCGUUGUAGGAGAGAGGUUGCAGGAGAGAGCAUUGCAGAGGGAGAAAAAAUCUCAGAAAGAAAAAUCUCAAGCUUUUUGUUGUAGGAGAGAACGUUGCAGAGGGUGAAUACGUCUUCCUCCCGUAGAAAAGGAAAUUGUUGUUGUGGAUGGAAUCUCUGAAGCGUUUUCUGGAAUCGGGAACAAGCUUGUUGUUGCAGGAGAGAGUUUUCUAGAAUCUCUGGAGCGUUUUAUGGAAGAAUGGGAGAUGAACAGAUAGACAGAGGAUUUGACGUGGCAGACAAUGAACAUUAAAAACUGACAGAAGACGUGGCAAGUCCGUUAGUGAGAUUUGACGCCAUUCAUAUUUAGGGACUAAUCAUAUAUGUUUCAAUACUAAGAGGAUGAAAUGUCAUCAAUGUUUCAUGCAGGGACUAAAAUCAAAAUUUACUAAUACUUCAGGAACUAAAAGCAUAUUUAAUCCUAUAAAAAUAUAAUCGAUUAAAAAUGCUUAGAAACAUUUUAAGGUUGAUUUUAGCUUUUUGGAAAAACAUUUUCUCUUUUUAAUAUGGUUGUGUUCAUCUUUGAAAGUUCAAAUAAAUUACUUAUAUGAAAGGCA
rnacentral:lncRNA from 1 species